GCCAGGUGUGGUGGUGCAUGCCUGUAAUCCCAGCAGCUCAGGAGGCUAAGGCAGGAGGAUAGCGAGUUCAAAGCCAGCCUCAGCAAAAGCGAGGUGCUAAGCAACUCAGUGAGACCCUGUCUCUA
rnacentral:sRNA from 1 species